AUUAAACGCUGGCGGCAUGCCUUACACAUGCAAGUCGAACGGCAGCACGGGGGCAACCCUGGUGGCGAGUGGCGGACGGGUGAGUAAUGCAUCGGAACGUGCCCUGAAGUGGGGGAUAACGCAGCGAAAGCUACGCUAAUACCGCAUAUUCUGUGAGCAGGAAAGCAGGGGAUCGCAAGACCUUGCGCUUUGGGAGCGGCCGAUGUCGGAUUAGCUAGUUGGUGGGGUAAAGGCCUACCAAGGCGACGAUCCGUAGCGGGUCUGAGAGGAUGAUCCGCCACACUGGGACUGAGACACGGCCCAGACUCCUACGGGAGGCAGCAGUGGGGAAUUUUGGACAAUGGGCGGAAGCCUGAUCCAGCCAUGCCGCGUGAGUGAAGAAGGCCUCGGUUGUAA
rnacentral:rRNA from 1 species